GACGAACGCUGGCGGCGUGCCUAAUACAUGCAAGUUGAGCGAUGAAGAUUGGUGCUUGCACCAAUUUGAAGAGCAGCGAACGGGUGAGUAACGCGUGGGGAAUCUGCCUUUGAGCGGGGGACAACAUUUGGAAACGAAUGCUAAUACCGCAUAACAACUUUAAACAUAAGUUUUAAGUUUGAAAGAUGCAAUUGCAUCACUCAAAGAUGAUCCCGCGUUGUAUUAGCUAGUUGGUGAGGUAAAGGCUCACCAAGGCGAUGAUACAUAGCCGACCUGAGAGGGUGGUCGGCCACAUUGGGACUUGGACACGGCCCAAACUCCUACCGGAGGGAGCAGUAAGGGAUCUUCCGCAAUUGACGAAAGUCUGGCCGGGCAACGCCGCGUGGGUGAAUGAGGUUUUCGGAACGGAAAACUCUGUUGGUAGAGAAGAACGUUGGUUGGAAUGGAAAGCUCAUCAAGUGACGGUAACUACUCAGAAAGGGACGGCUAACUACGUG
rnacentral:rRNA from 1 species